GACGAACGCUGGCGGCGUGCUUAACACAUGCAAGUCGAACGGUAAGGCCCUUCGGGGUACACGAGUGGCGAACGGGUGAGUAACACGUGGGUGAUCUGCCCUGCACUUCGGGAUAAGCCUGGGAAACUGGGUCUAAUACCGGAUAGGACUCCUGGCUUCAUGGUUGGGGGUGGAAAGCUUUUGCGGUGUGGGAUGGGCCCGCGGCCUAUCAGCUUGUUGGGGGGGUAAUGGCCUACCAAGGGGACGACGGGUAGCCGGCCGGAGAGGGUGACCGGUCACACUGGGACUGAGAUACGGCCCAGACUCCUACGGGAGGCAGCAGUGGGGAAUAUUGCACAAUGGGCGCAAGCCUGAUGCAGCGACGCCGCGUGAGGGAUGACGGCCUUCGGGUUGUAAACCUCUUUCAGCUAUGACGAAGCGCAAGUGACGGUAGUAGCAGAAGAAGGACCGGCCAACUACGUGCCAGCAGCCGCAGUAA
rnacentral:rRNA from 1 species